AUAAUUUCUCUGAUGAUUCAUAGUUCAUUUGAUAUCUUAUGAUAACAAUAUUUUUCGCUCCUAUCUGAUAAAUUUU
rfam:Phlebotomus papatasi Contig73.19, whole genome shotgun sequence.